AACUCGUGACGUCCCCGCGUGACCUCACCGCUGCGGGGCGAUGGAGCGAAAAGUGAGGAAACUGAAGUCCCGGGAGAGACAGUGGCAAGGUCAAGUAGCAAAGUGCACUCAGCCCUCCCAGCAAGGAGUCUGCCACUCGCGCUUGAAGGACGUGUUUGAAGAGCUGCUUUCCCAGUGGGAUGCUGCCUUAAAGUCUUGAUUCCCUGGCACUCUUUCCUAUUACUACAUUUUAUCGGUGCUGUUUGUGUUAUGCAACGGUAGCAUCGUGUCUCCGGAAGAUAAAAAAGGUCUCGAUACAAACAUCCAUAACCUUCCACCCACUCCGUCAGGAACAACCCAAUCAAAAUAAAGUCAUGAGAAUUUAGCAUGCCUUGUUCUGUGUUUAAAAUAGAAGACAAAGUAUUUCUGUAUAUAUCGUACACCUUCCCGGUCAAGGUCUGUCAAAGAAUGAGAAAG
rnacentral:lncRNA from 1 species